UAUCUUGUGUCUGUUUCUCUCCUCUAGAGUUUAAAUUUCCAAGGGCAAGGAUUUUUGUCUGUUUUAUUCCUUGCCAGCUCUCCAAUAUGCACAAGAAUGCCUGACUCAAGACAGAAUCCUAUAAAUAUUUGUUCAAUGGGUAGAGAAAUGAUCAAUGGAUCUCACCGAACAUAUAAAAAGAUUGUCAGGGAGACAAAAUUACUCUCCCAAGAGUUACACAUCCGGCAAGGGGUGAGUUGGGAUUUGAGUUUGGGUCUGUCCCUUUCCUAGGGACUUUUCCUUCUCCAUAGCACUUAUCACCGCUUAUGUAUUAUUUCUGGGGCUGUGUUUGGUGUCUUUCUCCUCUCCCACCAGAAUGGGGGCUCCAGUGAGAACAGAGUUCAUGUGUUUUGCUCAUAGUUGUCUCCCCAGCACCCAGACAGAGCUCCCCAGCACCCAGGAAGCAGCUCAUAAAUAUACGCUGAGCGACACUUUAUUCUCACAAGAAAUCCUGCAAAGUAUGUUUCCUCUGUGCUAUUUUACACAUGGGGACAUUGAGGCUCAACCAGAGAAGUGAUUUGCCUUGCUUAAGGUCAUCUGGCUAAUGAAUAGAGAGCUGGGAUUUGAACCCAGGCCUCCUGAGCUCAUUGGUCAUGGAGAAGGGGACCCCCAUUUAACGCUUGCUGGUUCGACCCACCCAAAGGCAACAGCUGCUUGGCCGAAAGCUCCACUCACAACCGACCAGGGAAGGCAUUUCCCCCUCAAGGUCAGCAGUGUCAGGGCCGAUGUGAAACUCACCCUUAAUGCACAACUCCCCAGUUUCGUCCAUUUAAGUAAAAACUUUGAUGUUAUUUUAACCCAAAUCCCCCGUUGACUUCAAUGGAAGCUUUGAAUCCACGAGGAAGGUCAGACAGUGUUUUUGGAGGUAACAUGGGCACCCAAUGGAAAUCAUAUUAGCAUACUCAUUAUCAUCAGGGCCCUUUGAAUGUGUUUUUUAGCUGCUCCCUUAAAGUUGACUUGGUGACAAUGGAUCCUUUCUGUUCAGGAAUCACUGGGCCAGAGUGGAGCUGUGGUCGGCUCCUGUGUGCUUUUCUGUGCUUUUCAAAUGAUGACAGUGAACCCAUGUUGCAUAAGGUAAUGGAAAGAACGCCAUCCACCAGGCACCCUGGUGGUGAAUGAAGUACAUUGUCUUGGUUUGAAAGAAAUAACUCUUUAAGUCACUUGUGCUGGGACCCCAGGGAUGGGCUCAGGUAACAAAAGGUGUUGCUAAACGGCCUUCCAAGAAAGCUGGUCCCUGUUAACGGGAGGCCCCUGGGCGCAGAAAAAAAAAAAAAAAAAAAUCAGGGAUUGGCCUUGGUUGACAAGAUGGUUGUUCAACUUGAGAAAAUUCCAGAAUUGCCUGGGGAGCAUUUACUACACCCAGUGCCCAGCGCCCCCACAUCAGACCAUUUGGUUCCAAAUCCUGGGAAGUGGGGAGACCAGAAGGCAUCAAAGGUUUCUAAGUGUCCUCAGAUGACUCCGGUAGGCCAAGCGGCAGCUAGGAAAUGUUCAAACUACGGAAAAGUGCAGAGAAUCGUACGACGACCCCACUACCUGGUACCAGCCUCAUCAAUCACCAACACGGAGUCCCUCCGGUGUGAGGGGGUUUAAGAAUCCCUAAUUUCAGCAGGACAUGUGGCAGCCCAGAAUGAAGAUUACACUUCCCUGCUUUCUUUCCGAAUCCCAGCCAUGCUGGACUAUGUGAUGAAUUAAAGAUGGCUACUGAUUCUUUGGUCCUUCUUCCUUCAAGAGGAAGAGUUUGUUUGGACUUCCUC